UACGUAGGUGGCAAGCGUUGUCCGGAAUUACUGGGUGUAAAGGGCGAGUAGGCGGGUAUGCAAGUCAGAUGUGAAAUACCGAGGCUUAACCUCGGGGCUGCAUUUGAAACUGCAAAUCUUGAGUGAUGGAGAGGCAGGCGGAAUUCCCGGUGUAGCGGUGAAAUGCAUAGAGAUCGGGAGGAACACCAGUGGCGAAGGCGGCCUGCUGGACAUUAACUGACGCUGAGGCGCGAAAGUGUGGGGAGCAAACAGGAUUAGAUA
rnacentral:rRNA from 1 species